AGAAAGCACAAAUUUCGUUAAUAACAUGAGAUUUCAAGAGCAUCAACUGAUAAUCAAAAUUACUUAGCUUAUGCCUUAUUUUAAAUCAUCUAUUUAUCAGUCACCAAUUCCAUGUCUUUUAAAUUUCAUAGCAAAUAUACUCUUUUUCUUUUUCUAUUAAAAUAAAUUCCCAUAAUUCUAUUUCCGAUAUUGCCUAGCUUUUAGACAAAUAUGGUUCAUUCUUUAGGCUUACAUCAACAUUAUACCACCUACUAUAAUACUAUCUAUGUUGCAGGCCAUUUUGCCCGGGCCCAGUAAUAAACCCCCAGCCCAAAGCCCAUCAAAACUAAUACAAACCCAAAACAAAUUAAACCCAAACUUUCAAUACCCAACUAACUUAAACAGCCCAAAUGGCCCAACCAAAAAAAAAAGGAAACAGAAAACCCUAGCAGAAAACAGAAGAACCCUAGGCGCCGCUCCUAGGGUCUUCUGACUUUUGGUCUUCUGCCCACCUGCUCUGCCAGCAACCACCGCCAACUGCCACCGUCACUUCCAUCCACGUGCGUUGAUCCCUGCAAACAAAUCAAGGCAAGCGAGACAGGCAUAGGCAUAGACUAGGGAUUUCAUGUAAAUCGGCUUUAAAAGCCGAAACUAAGAACAUGUAAAGGGGGCUUUUUGUUUUUAUUUUCGGUAAAAAAAAACGAUUCUAAAACCGAUUGUAUCAGAUUUCAAUAGAUAAAAAGGAAAAGAAAAAGAGAUUGAAGAAAAUUUUUGGUAUAAGCUUUAUUUUUCUUUUGAUUUUUCUUCCUUUCGAACUGUUUGUAUCCUUCAUUUUUAUUUUUCUUUUACUUAAAAAAAAACUAUAUAUAGCAUAUAAAAAAAUUACCUUUGGGAUUUUCCGGCCACCGUACGACGGCGGCCGGUGGUGUCGACGGCGAUUUCCCUCGCUGGAUUUUGGGCAGUGCUGGAGGGAGAGAGGAUUUUUUUGAAGAGAAAUCAUUUUUUUUUCUUUGAAAGAGCAGAAAAU
rnacentral:lncRNA from 1 species